CCCUUAGAUGUUCUGGGCCGCGCGCGCGCUACACUGAUGCAUUCAACGAGCCUAUCCUUGACCGACAGGUCCGGGUAAUCUUUGAAUCUGCAUCGUGACGGGGAUAGAUUAUUGCAAUUAUUAAUCUUCAACGAGGAAUGCCUAGUAGGCGCAAGUCAUCAGCUUGCGUCGAUUACGUCCCUGCCCUUUGUACACACCGCCCGUCGCUCCUACCGAUUGGGUGUGCUGGUGAAAUGUUCGGAUCGGCCGUUUGUCGCGGUUUCCGCGUCAUGUGGCUGAGAAGUUCAUUAAACCCUCCCACCGAGAGGAAGGAGAAGUCGUAACA
rnacentral:rRNA from 1 species